CAGUAGCCGCGGGAAUACAGAGGGUGCGAGCGUUAAUCGGAUUUACUGGGCGUAAAGCGUGCGUAGGCGGCUUCUUAAGUCGGAUGUGAAAUCCCUGAGCUUAACUUAGGAAUUGCAUUCGAUACUGGGAAGCUAGAGUAUGGGAGAGGAUGGUAGAAUUCCAGGUGUAGCGGUGAAAUGCGUAGAGAUCUGGAGGAAUACCGAUGGCGUAGGCAGCCAUCUGGCCUAAUACUGACGCUGAGGUACGAAAGCAUGGGGAGCAAACAGGAUUAGAUACCCGCGUAGUCCCUGUCUCUUAUAC
rnacentral:rRNA from 1 species